rnacentral:rRNA from 1 species
UUGCCCUACGGGGGGCAGCAGUGGGGAAUAUUGCACAAUGGGGGAAACCCUGAUGCAGCAACGCCGCGUGAGUGAAGAAGGUUUUCGGAUUGUAAAGCUCUGUUAGCAGGGAAGAGGAAGGACGGUACCUGCAAAGGAAGCCACGGCUAACUACGUGCCAGCAGCCGCGGUAAUACGUAGGUGGCAAGCGUUGUUCGGAAUAACUGGGCGUAAAGGGAGCGCAGACGGCAAGGCAAGUCUGAUGUGAAAGUCCGAGGCUCAACCUCGGGACUGCAUUGGAAACUGUCUGGCUAGAGUGCAGGAGG